UUUUGCCUUACACACAGAGCAGACACAAACUUCUGCGAUCAACAAACUCAGGACAUUUAAUCUGUUCGUUUUGAGAGACAGGACCAGCUGGAUUUCCUAGGCCAACUAAGAAUCCCUAAGCCUAGCUGGGAAGGGCUGUUGAAAUGCAUCUCGGGCC